GAUGAACGCUGGCGGCGUGCUUAACACAUGCAAGUCGAACGGUGAAGGCGGAGCUUGCUCUGCUGGAUCAGUGGCGAACGGGUGAGUAACACGUGAGCAAUCUGCCCCUGACUCUGGGAUAAGCGCUGGAAACGGCGUCUAAUACUGGAUACGAGCUGCGAAGGCAUCUUCAGCAGCUGGAAAGAACUUCGGUCAGGGAUGAGCUCGCGGCCUAUCAGCUUGUUGGUGAGGUAACGGCUCACCAAGGCGUCGACGGGUAGCCGGCCUGAGAGGGUGACCGGCCACACUGGGACUGAGGCACGGACCAGACUCCUACGGGAGGCAGCAGUGGGGAAUAUUGCACAAUGGGCGAAAGCCUGAUGCAGCAACGCCGCGUGAGGGACGAUGGCCUUCGGGUUGUAAACCUCUGUUAGCAGGGAAGAAGCGAAAGUGACGGUACCUGCAGAAAAAGCGCCGGCUAACUACGUG
rnacentral:rRNA from 1 species